rnacentral:pre_miRNA from 1 species
AAAGUACUCCCUCCGUCCCAAAAUUCUUGUCUUAUAUUUGUCUAGAUACGGAUGUAUCAAGUCACAUUUUAGUAUUAGAUACAUUUGUAUCUAGACAAAUCUAAGACAAGAAAUUUGGGACAGAGGGAGUAGUUG